GCUUGCAUUGGUCGAGUGGGGGUCCCGGAGCGGCCUCCUAAUCUCCAAAAAAACCUGCAGAAAGAGAACCUUUUCCCUGGAGCCCCAGCGCUAGGCGGGCACAGCUGCGACUGAGGCACCUGUUACGCCCUGUGGUUCACCCGGCCCAGCCCUGUUCCCCGCCCCCUCCACUCCUGGGGGCCCCCUGGGGGCAGGGCGCUCGGGCUGCCUCGAGCAAGUUCUGUGAUCCCCACCCCGCCUCUGAGUCCCUGCUCCCAUCCUAGGAGCAAAAGGCGAAGCUCCCAGAAGAGCCACGUGGAGGAAUGAACCAGACACCAGCAGGCACCAGAAUUAGCUUAGACUCUAGGGAAAGGGAGGUUCGUGCCUCGGGAAUGGUGGGGGCGAACAACCCAAAGAGAGACAGUCCGUGGAAGACGAAGGCAGAGGAAGGGACCUAGGCGGAAAAAGAACAGGCGUUCGCGAACCAGAAGUUUGUGCAGAAAUGUCCCACCGCACUCAGCAAAAUACGUGCGAAGAUAAUUACACGGCUGCUGAGGGUGGCCAGGGUUCGGUCCAGCUACUUCCCCGAUCAGCCUGUGUGAGCCUAAAAUUCCCCAGGGAAGGGAAGAUGUAAGAUGGAGAAAAGGCAGGAGACUUGUCUUAUAUCACUAAAACCCAGGCCCAUGGAAGCAAUAACUGUAUUGGUCAUGUUAACUUCUGAAGCCCCAGCUCCUCAUGCCUUCACGAGAGCAGCUAACAGGAACCCUUCAAGGAAGAAGUCACACUGCGUCACUGUUUUGCUCCAAACUCUUCCAAGGUUUGUAAAGUUACUUCAAACAAAAGGACAGAGGCACAGAUGGACAAGAAACUUUUGGAAGUAGAAUCAAAAUGGAACAAAACAAGGAUAACCAAGGACAAAGAGAUACAGAUAAUGUAUUGGAAAGAAAAAAGCCAGAUUUCAGAGGACAACCACUUUGUUUUCUAGAUUCUACACUAAAAACUGCCUUGGAGAGAAACUCUCCCACCAGGAGCCUAUCGAGAAGAGAAGGAAGGUGUAAAGGCGAGAUCUUCAGAGACAGUGAAGCCUCACUCCUUCCUCGCAGGAGGAUGUACAUUUACAGUCGCAAUCACAGUAUCCUGUUCUACCCUGCGCUGGAGCCGUCACACAACCCAAUCGGAGCUGUCAUGGAUUCAAGGCUGCCGUGACCUGAGCGGCUAUUCUCCAGAGAUGCCCGGGCCGCACUGUCCUGCUUUGGAGCCAGCGACCGUGCAAAGCCUGAGACUACUUAAAUGGGAGCCAAAAUAGACCUCUGCUCCUUCAAGUCACCGGUGUCAGGUAUUGAGCCUCAGCGAGGAGGAAACUGACCUAAGACAUCAUCCUUUAGUACAGCCUGCAGCUCGUGCCUGUGGCUUGUAUGGGUGGAUGCUGGAGUGGAUGCUUGACAGAAUAACAGUCCCAAAGUUAUCUAAGCCCCAGAAACUAUGGUUACAGUAGACAACUUGACAGAAAAAUUGAGAACCUUGGGGUGGGGAGAUUACCUGGGAUCAUCUACAGGGGCCCAAGGUGAUUACAGGGGUCCUUGACAUUCAAAGAGGACAUAAAAGGCAGUCAGAGGAAGGUGUGACCACAGAUGAUACACACACAGAGACACAGCAUUCCUGGCUUUAAAGGUGGAAGGGAAGCUGCAGGGGUAGGGGAGGCACUGGAAAAGUCAAGAAAACAGAUACAACCACGGAGCCUCGAGUGGGGGAAGCAGGCCUGUUGUUGACACCUCAGUUUUAGCUUUGUGAGAUCCAUGCUUGAUAUGGGAAUUUCUAGAAAUGCCAGACAGUAAAUCACUAAAGCUAUGGUCACUUGUUAAAGCAGCAAAGCUAAUGCAGGGUGUAAAUCAGGGAAGAGCUUGAUACAAAGACAGGAAAAUCUAAGUGUGAUUUAGGGACAGAGAGUUGCUGUGGUGUAUAAUAGAAUUUCAAAUCCGAAAGGUCAGUUGGAAUCAGACUGUGGGGAGCCUGAACUGAGAGAUAAUGAAUCUAGACACUGCCUUUGGCCACAGAAAGCCACUGAAAGGUUAGAGUGUUGGCUAUUUCAUCUCAGCAACAAGGCGAACUCAGUAACUAAGACAGAGACCAUGAGAGUCCGAGGGCAGCUCCCAGUGCCCUCUGCCAGGGUGCCCAGGGCUGCCCCAGGGCUAAGCUGAGUCAGGACAAGUGAAUGCACUCUGGGACAACCAUCCUGACCUCUCAAGGUCCUGGCCUUGUUACCAGUUUCAUAUUUGGGUUUUCACUGCAGAUUUCAUUUGAACAGGGGAUUUUGCAUCUAAAAUAAUAAAGGAAAAACACCAGAGGAGCGCAGCUCACUAUACAGAGAGGUUAAGCAUCUCCUUCCAGGUCGCUUAGCUAGAAGAUGGGAGGGCAGGGACUUAUUUCCUAGGAAUCUCCAUUCCCAGUCCUCGGCUCUUCUGGCAGAAGGCCAGAGGGAUGGGGAAGGGGAGUAGAUAAGUAAAUAAGGCCAUUUGUGAGGCGACUCCGGGCCACUGUCCAUGGAGGCUUUGAGUAUGAAAGGAAGGGCUCAGGCAUGAAAGAUAAGUCCCAGAGAUACCAGGGCUUCAGCCCAUAGUCAGCGAGUGUUAGUGAGAAACCAACAUUGACCCGCUCUCAAGUUCUAAAUCCCAAGACAGCAGAGUUGGAUUGGAUGCUCUGGGCCCUCCAACCCUACUAUGAAGGAGGAUUACAUCAGCAGACCCCAAACAGGGUGUCCUAUAGGACAGGAAAGCUUUCCGGAGGAGGAGCAAGGCUUGGAUUGCAAGCCAAAAAAAUGAAUGAAGCGACAGAGCAGGAAGGAGACACCUGGACCUGGGCUUCUGCCAACCACCCAGACUAUCAGCUUUCCUAUGGCCCUGCUUCCAGGAAACUGGAAAACUCGUAAACCAAUGAGGUUGGCAAGGGCUUAAAAUGAAUGUUUAGGUCCUUAUGGUUCUUUAAACAUGCCUUUCAAUUGUCAGGGUAUUAUUACUGAAACAGGAACACUGUAAUUACUUGUGCAUUAUUAUAAUACACAAAGUGAUUUAAGCAGUAAAAAGGCUUUGAUAAAUUAGUAGUUCUUUUGAUUCCUACAGUUUUGCAGCUCAUGUUCGAAGACAUCUCUUGAGAGUUCUCAGAUUCAUGGAAAAGCUGCUGGAGUUUUCCCAGAUUAUUUUCCCCCGACUCCGAAUCUUACUGCUUCCUUGACACUUCACCCACAAGUCCCACCUCAAAAUUGAAGCUCAGCCCCUCUCCUUCCCAACUUGCACCUCUUCCUCCCAUGUUUUGUAUCUGGAUGGAUGGUCCCUCCAUCCACGCAGUAUAAGGCUCCCAAAUUUUAAGAGCCACCCUCAUUCUUUUAUUCUUCGCUACCGUCUAUCACUCUUUACAUUCAUAUAGCAACGAUACCUCCGUAACAGUGUAUAACAGUGGUAGCCAUUUUUUGAAUGCCUAUUACUGUUAGAGGAUUAUUAUUACAUACAAUAAUAUAUAUUAUUGCAAAUCUUGAAAAAUGUGCUAUCCGUACUUUAUAGUCAAAAAGCCUGAGGUUCGGAGACACUGUCUGCUCAAGGUUCACUUGAUGGUCUGUGACAGUCAGGGUCAGAAUUUGAACCCGCAUCUGCAGCAUUUGAAUCCAUAUCAAGCUGAUUCUAAAAUACAUGCAUUUUCUACCCCACAGCAGAACAUCCAAUUAAACUCCAAUGUCACUGCAGGAAUUCCUGUCAUGUUCCAAGGUGGAUAUUUUUCAAGUCUCUCCCAAAUGAUUCUGAUGUGCAGCCAGGGCUGUGAUCACUCAGGGCUUUUCAAAUCCCCACCGAGUAAGAAUCGCCAGCUGAGAUGUGUGCUAGGCAGGACGCCUGCCCCCAUCACCUGCCACAUAUUUGAACUGCUCCUUCCCCACUGCCCCACUACAGGCAGUUCUAGGCUGGGCCCUGGCUAGCCGCUAAUUUAAAACACAGCUCUGCUGGAUCUUGUGUAGGUGGGUGCUGGCCCCUCACCCCAUCCCACAGCCCCUGCAGCUUACCCUAGGAGCCCUGAUCUGGUCAAUAGUAGCUAUGUUGUAGGUGCGUGGCACACUCUCCAAAGAAGCAGAAAUCCUGGGAGAGGCCUGUGACGAGGGCUUUCCAAUCAAAGGCUGGAGAUCUGCACAUGCAUCUCUUUAUAUGAUGCCGCCAGUGUGAAGGGGGAGGAAAAAGGACAACACACAGGCAGAAACACCCCUCUUUCCCCACCAAACCGUAAAGCAGGGCAGGCCUUCAUGAACUCCUCUCUAGUUACCAGUGCUUGAAAUCUCAGCUCUGCCCAGCCAUACCUUCUCCACAGUGCCCAUGUCCUCGGCCAGCAUGCUAACAUCCUCAAUCUCAGUGGGAGAUCUUAACGGCUGAAUUUCAGGAAAGAGUUAGAAUGGAAAUCUAUACACGAUUCCUAUUGCGCAUUGCAAACAUCCAUUUGCUUUGGAUUCACCAGGUUUUAUUCAUCCAGUUUAAAUUCUGUAAGAAGAAUGUUUUGAUGUUAGUGAUGUAAGAAUAAUGGAAAUCUGGGAGUGGGUCACAGUCAAGGACAAGGCUGCUGCUCAGCAGGUCAGCUCAGUUAGUCAUUCUGGUGUUAUUUCAGGAUAUUUACAGAGCCAGUCGUGCUCACUAAAGGAGAAGUGAUAUUUCCUUCUGUGUCUCGGGGAGGACACUGGGGAUCGAACCCCAUGUCUUCCCAUUGAGCUACAUCCCCAGCCCUUGCUAAACUGCCAUAGCUGGGAUUGAACUUCCAGCCUUCCUGCCUUGCUAGAGUUUGUUAAGAUUCAAGGAUUUGAGCUAAAGUGUUCUCUGAACCUCCUACGGAAAGAGCAGUGGCCUUGGCUGGUGGUAGGGUCACGGAUAUGACCCAGCAUCUCUGGACUCUCCCAGCCUGCUGGCCCUGCUCCGCAGUGCCUGCUUCCAACACAGUCCUUGAGGGUCACUAUCGAUAGCUCUGUGUGGUUGUGCCCUUCGGCUCUUCAGAAACAGCUGUUGCGAGAAGGUAGAGCACUGAAAAAUUCUUGCUGGUGUGUCUGCCAUCAAUCCCACUUCUCGGCAAUCUGAAAGGGAGAAGGGACCAACUGAUGAUCUGAAUCCACUUUACCAGCGUGUCGGUUACCACCUGCUGACAGUUGACAGGGACGGCCCAGAGGUGACUCAUUCCCUUAACAUCUUGCCUGCUGCAGCGGCCUGCAACAUGGGGGAGCAGUGAAAGAGGGACAGCAGACAGGCGAAGCCAUUCCUACAACCACUUGCUCCAGCCACUCCUACUUUCUGAAUUCCCCUACAGUGCUGUAGGUGAUAAACACACUCUCACUUAUUAACUCUUGUGAUUGCUCUGGAUCUUAUGUAGGGGAGGGGUAAUCAUUUCAUGAGCGUCAUGUCACAUGCACUGAUACCAUAAUGCAAUUACUAAAAUGUCUCCGUCUGUUUAGGUGGGGAGGAGACCCAUUUUUUUCUCCAAAUGCACUGUUCUCUGUAAUUCCAUCCUAGAGCGGAGAAGUCAGUGGAUUGCUGAAUCCUCAGCUAUGACUCAAGUUUACCAAAGCCCGAGAUGAGGUUUAUCUAUCACCAGAUCCCCAGUGCCUACCAAGUUUGUACUUAAUGGGCCCUUGUAAAUAUUAAUCGAAUAAAACAGUUAAUGAAUG